rnacentral:tRNA from 1 species
GCCCGGGUGGCGGAAUGGCAGACGCGAUAGACUCAAAAUCUAUUGGGGGCAACCUCAUGAGAGUUCGACUCUCUCCCCGGGCA